AGGGCACCACCAGGAGUGGAGCUUGCGGCUUAAUUUGACUCAACACAGGAAAACUCACCCGGCCCGGACAUUGUAAGGAUUGACAGAUUGAGAGCUCUUUCUUGAUUCGGUGGUUGGUGGUGCAUGGCCGUUCUUAGUUGGUGGAGCGAUUUGUCUGGUUUAUUCCGAUAACGAACGAGACUCUAGCCUACUAACUAGUGACUGGAUUAUUGCUGUCCAGGACACUUCUUAGAGGGACAAGUGGUGUUUAGCCACACGAAAUUGAGCAAUAACAGGUCUGUGAUGCCCUUAGACGUCCGGGGCUGCACGCGUGCUACACUGGAUGAACCAGCGUGCAAAACCAUUGCUGAGAGGCAUUGGUAAACCGGUGAAAAUCAUCCGUGAUCGGAAUCGGGAAUUGCAAUUAUUUCCCUUGAACGAGGAAUUCCCAGUAAGUGUGGGUCAUAAGCUCGCGCUGAUUACGUCCCUGCCCUUUGUACACACCGCCCGUCGCUGCCCGGGACUGAGCCGUUUCGAGAA
rnacentral:rRNA from 1 species